rnacentral:tRNA from 1 species
GCCGCCGCUGGCAGGCAAGGUCCGGCCGAAGAUGCGCUAUGCGCAUCAGGGCGGUUCCAAUCCGCCGGUGGUG